GCCCAAAAUUACAACUGGUUGAGACAAACACUUGGGAAAGGUUUCAAGCCAUGUACUGUGGUUUUAAGUGUCAGGAGGUCAAGUUCGGGGGAUGAGGCGCAGUGCUUGGGUCUGUAUAUUCUCAGGAGAGAUACCGAGGUCUGGCUGCUGUCAGAUAUGGUAUAAAGAGAAAUCCUCUAUCUGAUCUGUUUUGCGUUUCUGUGUGCUACAGCUACAGGAAGCUGUAGCAAAACGGUCACAGAUGCACAGAACCGUGGUGUGCUUAGCAAAGGAUGCAAGACUGUUCUGUGUGCUGCUGGAGGAGAGCCCCGGCCUUGCUGCACCCCCAGGACAGAGCAAGCAGGCAGAAGUGUGCUGUGGCAGUCUCCUCUCUGACAGCAUCAUCUGCAGGUUUCAAGGGAUCAUUUCUAAUGGCUAGAAGAUUAGUUAAGCAGAGAGCCAGCCCCCAGCUUCAUGUAAGCGGUUUCUAUUUUCGCAAGGUUCAGCAACCACCACAAUCCCCAUCAAGUGCCAGUGUCAAAUAUGCACACCGGCAGGGCAUCAGGGCAGAGAUGACGCGUGGGCUUUGCUCAAAGCAUUUCGGGUGGUGGUGGACGCUGCUGGCUCUGCAUCCCGCACAACGCACCCGACUCGAGGAGCUGCCAGCAGAGCUGCUAAACCAGCACCACGUGCGUGCUGCUCCCCGUCUGGUGCACGGUGCAGUCAU